GUUUCCGUAGUGGAACCUGCUGACCCGACUCGCAACUUUAAGCCAUAUAAGAUCCCAAUAGGAAAUCAGAUUACCGUAGUGGAACCCUGCGGAAGGAUCAUUG
rnacentral:rRNA from 1 species